rnacentral:lncRNA from 1 species
UGCGUUGAGCCGAUUAGAAGAGUAAGGAGUAGAAGGCUGCGACUGAACGCCUUUGUGAAGACUACACCGGAACGAACCAGGAUGUGUGGUUGGAGAACACAUGCAGGUCCUCUUCUGUUGGCUCUGCUUCUUCACCACUUGAUGAUUCCCACUGGCACGAGACAAAACAGAGAUAGGGCGAUUCGGAGAAAUGGACCGGUCCAGUGAAAAUCUGACCGAUGAGGCGGACGGAGAAGAGGAUCCUUGCAGAUUAACACGAGAAGGAGACACAGAUCUAGGGAAAAAGGAAGUAGCGUUUCUGGUGGAAAAGCUUGAUGUGGAAGAGGCAAAAGCCGAUGAAGAAGAAGAGGAAUAAGAAGAACAGGAGCCGUAGAAUCUCCCAGAAGGCGAAAGAGACC